AUUGAACGCUGGCGGCAGGCCUAACACAUGCAAGUCGAGCGAGCGGCGGACGGGGGAGUAAUGUCUGGGAAACUGCCUGAUGGAGGGGGAUAACUACUGGAAACGGUAGCUAAUACCGCAUACCAUCAGAUGUGCCCAGAUGGGAGUAGCUAGUAGGUGGGGUAAUGGCUCACCUAGGCGACGACCCCUAGCUGGUCUGAGAGGUUGACCAGCCACACUGGAACUGGACAACGGUCCAUACUCCUACGGGAGUCAGCCGUGGGGAAUAUUGGACAAUGGGCGCAAGCCUGAUGCAGCCAUGCCGCGUGUAUGAGGAAGGCGUUCGGGUUGUAAGGUACUUUCAGCGGGGAGGCGUUACCCGCAGAAGAAGCACCGGCUAACUCCGUGCCAGCAGCCGCGGUAAUAC
rnacentral:rRNA from 1 species